rnacentral:snoRNA from 1 species
AAGACUAUACUUUCAGGGAUCAUUUCCCUGGUUUGUUACUAGAGAAGUUCUCUGAUCGUGUGGAGCACCUGAAACCACGAGGAGGAGUCAGAGCAUCUUCUCCUGGGCAUGAAACCGGUUCUAGGUGUUGCUUUUGCAACUGCCUUUUUUUUUUUUUUUGCUUUUUGGGUCACACCCAGUGAUGCUCAGGGG